rnacentral:tRNA from 1 species
GGGAGUGUAGCUCAAGGGUAGAGUAUCUGUCUCCAAAACAGAUGAUAAGGGUUCAAGUCCCUUCAUUCCUA